AGAGCAAAGGAGGAAAAAUACUUCACAGUAAAUGGGCGUGAAAGUUUCACACCGAGUUUCACUGCCGGCUCUCAGUCCUGUCAUUCAACAACUUAUACAGCACCGGGCUUCACGGGGACAGGCCGGGCCUCGGAGACGUUCAUCUUUGGGACUCCCACUACAAUGAAAGCCCCUGCGUUUGGAUGACCAUGUGGGGAAAAUCUUAACCAAAACGUUCAACUUUCAAAAAAAAGGAAGAAGUUUCUUGUGAAAGCCGUCACCUGAAACUGGACAUUUGUUCCGGCGACGCCUGUCAAUACACCUGCAAUAGGACUUUAAUAUCACUCUGGGUCACAUUCUGGACAACUACGAACUCACUGAAGACUGAGGAUUUAAAAUUGAAUCAGAAAUGUCUACAUCACCUCCGACACGUGAAACGGUGGAUGAGGUGGCGAUCCUGCUGACGACCGUCCCGGGGGCUGGAGACACACACAAUACUCCAUCAAUCAUCAGUGCUGGACCGAGCGCUGCCUCCUGCUGCGAUGACGAGCACCACAGGAAACUGGCCAUCUGCAGCAUCAUCUGUGGGAUCUCCUGCAUCGGAAUCAAGGCUCUGAUAAGUUCAGUCAAGGCCGAGAGAACAGCAGAUCCAGAGAGAGCGGAAACGUAUUCAAAACAGGCAAAAAAGUUUGGCAUCAUCUCCAUCGUUGUUUGGGUUUCACUUCUGGUUUUAACUCCCAUUCUGGUUGUGCUGGUCUCUUAUCUCCUCACUCUGGGAGACUGAUCAACUUUGAUGAAUCGCUCCAGAAGACGACCAGAGUGACUUUAUGGAUGCUUAUGGAGACGGACAGCAGCACAAAGCUACUCAAACUGCUAAACGGCACGAAGAAACCCAAAACAUUUUCUUGUUUCUUGUGCCGACAACAUGAAUGCCGUCUCAAUUUACACUUUUCUACUUACUCUAAACCACGUAUCUCUUUACACAAGGAUCAACCACUCUAGAGACCAGUAUCAAAAAGUUUACAACUUGUACAUGUU